AGAGUUUGAUCAUGGCUCAGGAUGAACGCUAGCGGCAGGCCUAACACAUGCAAGUCGAGGGGUAACAUAGGAAAGCUUGCUUUUCUGAUGACGACCGGCGCACGGGUGCGUAACGCGUAUACAACCUACCUUUUAGCGGGGAAUAGCCCAGGGAAACUUGGAUUAAUGCCCCAUAGUAUAUAGACUUCUCCUGAAGUUUAUAUUAAACAUUUAUGGCUAUUAGAUGGGUAUGCGUCCUAUUAGUUAGUUGGUAAGGUAACGGCUUACCAAGGCAGCGAUAGGUAGGGGUCCUGAGAGGGAGAUCCCCCACACUGGUACUGAGACACGGACCAGACUCCUACGGGAGGCAGCAGUGAGGAAUAUUGGACAAUGGGCGAGAGCCUGAUCCAGCCAUGCCGCGUGCAGGAAGACUGCCCUAUGGGUUGUAAACUGCUUUUACAGAGGAAGAACCACCCCCACGUGUGGGGGUUUGACGGUACUCUGCGAAUAAGGAUCGGCUAACUCCGUGCCAGCAGCCGCGGUAAUACGGAGGAUCCAAGCGUUAUCCGGAAUCAUUGGGUUUAAAGGGUCCGUA
rnacentral:rRNA from 1 species